rnacentral:rRNA from 1 species
CGGCAAUGGAGGAAACUCUGACCGAGCAACGCCGCGUGAACGAUGAAGUAUUUCGGUAUGUAAAGUUCUUUUAUUAGGGAAGAAUAAGUGAUGGAAAAAUCAUUCUGACUGUACCUAAUGAAUAAGCCCCGGCUAACUAUGUGCCAGCAGCCGCGGUAAUACAUAGGGGGCAAGCGUUAUCCGGAAUUAUUGGGCGUAAAGGGUGCGUAGGCGGUUAAAUAAGUUUAUGGUCUAAGUUCAAUGCUCAACGUUGUGAUGCUAUAAAAACUGUUUAGCUAGAGUAAGAUAGAGGCAAGUGGAAUUCCAUGUGUAGUGGUAAAAUGCGUAAAUAUAUGGAGGAACCCCAGUAGCGAAGGCGGCUUGGUGGGUCUUUACUGACGCUGAGGCACGAAAGCGGGGGGAGCAAACAGGAUUAGAUACCCUGGUAAUCCACCCCGUAAACCAUGAAUACUAAACUUUGGGUAAAACCAGUGUUGAAGUUAACACAUUAAGAACUCCGCCGGAGUAGUACGUACGCAAGUAUGAAACUUAAAGGAAUUGACGGGACUCCGCACAAGCGGUGGAUCAUGUUGUUUAAUUCGAAGGUACCCGAAAAACCUCUCCAGGUCUUGACAUGCUUCUGCAAAGCUGUAGAAAUACAGUGGAGGUUAUCAGUUGCACAGGUGGUGCAUGGUUGUCGUCAGCUCGUGUCGUGAGAUGUUGGGUUAAGUCCCGCAACGAGCGCAACCCUUAUUGUUAGUUACCAGCACGUAAUGGUGGGGACUUUAGCAAGACUGCCAGUGAUAAAUUGGAGGAAGGUGGGGACGACGUCAAAUCAUCAUGCCCCUUAUGACCUGGGCUACAAACGUGAUACAAUGGCUGUUACAAAGGGUAGCUGAA